CCUACCGACGCUCAUUCCGAUCUGUUUGUCUAAAAUCACCGGCCAAGAGAACAAUUACUCCUCCCAUAAUUCGGUCGCAACCUCUAAUGUCUUGGAGCAAUCUGUUUAGAGCUUCAAUACCAUUUUUGUGAGUCAUAGUGCACUCGUCCCAGAUAAUAAUUUUUGCUUCUCGCAGCACAUGAGCCAUAUCACUCUUUUUAGAGAUGUUACAAAGUGGAGACUCAGAAUAACCUAAAUUGAGAGGUAGUUUAAAGGCAGAGUGAGCUGUUUUACCUCCGUCUAUCAAAGUCGCAGCAAUUCCUGAAGAAGCAACGGCUAUAGCGAUGUUUUUUUCACUCCUGAUUUUCGCAAGCAGUAAAUUGAUUGAAAACGUUUUUCCAGUGCCACCUGGAGCAUCAAGAAAAUACAACUGCCCAGAAUCAGAUAUAAUUGAAUUUAAAAUUUCAUUGUAAACUUUUUUCUAUUCUAGAUUUAAUUUAGGAACAUUUUCUGCUACAACUUUAGUUAAAU